GGCCUCGUAGCUCGGUUGGUAGAGCAUGCGCGUACAACGCGUAGCCGGCGUCCAUGCGUGGGUUCGAAUCUCACCGAGGCUA
rnacentral:tRNA from 1 species